rnacentral:rRNA from 1 species
AACGAACGCUGGCGGCAUGCCUAACACAUGCAAGUCGAACGAGACCUUCGGGUCUAGUGGCGCACGGGUGCGUAACGCGUGGGAACCUGCCCUUAGGUUCGGAAUAACUCCCCGAAAGGGGUGCUAAUACCGGAUAAUGUCUUCGGACCAAAGAUUUAUCGCCUUUGGAUGGGCCCGCGUUGGAUUAGCUAGUUGGUAGGGUAAAAGCCUACCAAGGCGACGAUCCAUAGCUGGUCUGAGAGGCUGAUCAGCCACACUGGGACUGAGACACGGCCCAGACUCCUACGGGAGGCAGCAGUGGGGAAUAUUGGACAAUGGGCGGAAGCCUGAUCCAGCAAUGCCGCGUGAGUGAUGAAGGCCUUAGGGUUGUAAAGCUCUUUUACCCGGGAUGAUAAUGACAGUACCGGGAGAAUAAGCUCCGGCUAACUCCGUG